rnacentral:ncRNA from 1 species
UAUUCGUCUGUGAGGAAGAGAGUAGUGAUGGGGGAGUUUAAGCGAGUUAGGGUUGGUGUGAGCCUAAUAACAAAGCCAUGAUGAAGCGCACUUCUGAGAUGCAUCCUGAAAUGAGUAGUAGGGAAUGCCGGUGCUAGCCGUUAUCUAGUUGAAAGCAGGUUCGUAUUUUGAACAAUCAGAGUGGUACCGCGGGUAAAUCUCGUCUCUAAA